rnacentral:rRNA from 1 species
GAUGAACGCUGGCGGCGUGCCUAAUACAUGCAAGUCGAGCGAACAGACGAGGAGCUUGCUCCUCUGACGUUAGCGGCGGACGGGUGAGUAACACGUGGAUAACCUACCUAUAAGACUGGGAUAACUUCGGGAAACCGGAGCUAAUACCGGCUCAUAUAUUGAGCCGCAUGGUUCAAUAGUGAAAGACGGUUUUGCUGUCACUUAUAGAUGGAUCCGCGCCGCAUUAGCUAGUUGGUAAGGUAACGGCUUACCAAGGCAACGAUGCGUAGCCGACCUGAGAGGGUGAUCGGCCACACUGGAACUGAGACACGGUCCAGACUCCUACGGGAGGCAGCAGUAGGGAAUCUUCCGCAAUGGGCGAAAGCCUGACGGAGCAACGCCGCGUGAGUGAUGAAGGUCUUCGGAUCGUAAAACUCUGUUAUUAGGGAAGAACAAAUGUGUAAGUAACUAUGCACGUCUUGACGGUACCUAAUCAGAAAGCCACGGCUAACUACGUG